AAGAUACUCCCUCUGAUCCUAAAUUAUUGACUCAAAUUUGCCCAAAUAUGAAUGUAUCUAUUCUUAAAAAGCGUCUAGAUACAUGUAAUAUUUCGACAACAAUUUAGGAUCAGAGGGAGUAGAAU
rnacentral:pre_miRNA from 1 species